UGGUACUGUUGAAAGGAUCGGUGUCAUCUAGGAACUGGACCCUGCAGACGAACGUAGCCAUGAUGUAUCCAUGCAAGAGCGCAGAAGUGUCCGGUAUGAGUUCCUCCGCAGCGUAACCCAAAGCACUGUCACCAGCAGCAGGCUGCAGACUCUCAGCAGAGUUACGUCUCCAACUUCUCGGCUGGCCCACUGCGGAACCGUCCUAGAAACUGCCA